AUUGAAUUGUGCCAUGAGAAAAAAAUAUGACCUCUACCUGUUUAAAACUUCACGUUUCAAGCCGAGAAAUCAGCAGUUUGUUGUAAAACUAUUGUAAAAUAAAAUUCUGAAGAAUCCGUAACCAGAAAGACUGCAAGUCGCGUAGGUGACGUCACACACCAAAUGCCGCUCUUUCCCGUGUCAGUUGGUGACGUAUUUUUUGUGGGACACUAGAUAUGUAGUCCGUAGAGCGGUCUUUACACAAAAUACAUAUUUUCAUAUUUUUUUCUCAUGGUACAAUUCAAUCGGCAAUAACGAAAUAAAACGAAAUAAAACUUUGACUCCCGUUCACUUACAUGGAGACUUUCUCCGAGGUGAGGUCUCAUGGCGACGUUACUUCCUGCUUCCGCUUAGGCUCUCUAUUUUAAUUUAGCUGUGUGUGUGUGUGUGUGUGUGUGUGUGUGUGCGUGCGUGCGCUGUAUAACGUUAUAUCGAACGAAAAAGUUAAAUUGUUGUAACGUUUGGGUAUUUUGGCACUUUAGUGGUCAGCAUUCAGCAUGUGUGAUAAUUUAGCUGUGUGUGUGCGUGCGUGUGUGUGUGUGUAUGUAAGGUUAUAUCGAAAGUGACGAACGUGGCAAAGUCUUAUGAGAUAGCAAAAAUAAUAGAAAGUUAUCUAACGUUGAAAUGUUGAAUGAAUUAACAUGAAUGUAAAAUAAUAUUAAUGCUAAUAGACCUUGUGUAUCUUGAAUUUAAUGGUCAAUUGUUCUUCUGUUUUUGUUCAGCAUCCCACCUAUUUCCCAGUCAGCGAGGAGCCAGUUUUUCCCUCAGCAGAGGCGUAUGACUGUCCUUGUUGUCCCUUUCAGACAAGACAACAUCACACUAUAGUUUACCAUCUCAGAAACCAUUUAGAUGCGGCAGUCCGCCAUGGAGAAUACUGUAUGAGCAAAUGCAGCUUCAAAUGCAGAGACGCUCACCAUUUCCACUGCCUCACCUGUGACACAACCAUCAUAAGGAGAAAUCAUUUCAUUGCUAUUUAAUAAAUGAAAACAAUUCUCGAGUCCUUGAGUCAUUUUAUCUGUAGUAAGAUGCUGCAGAUG
rnacentral:lncRNA from 1 species